rnacentral:rRNA from 1 species
GGGGAAUUUUGGACAAUGGGCGCAAGCCUGAUCCAGCCAUUCCGCGUGCAGGAUGAAGGCCCUCGGGUUGUAAACUGCUUUUGUACGGAACGAAACGGCCUGCUCUAAUACAGCGGGCUAAUGACGGUACCGUAAGAAUAAGCACCGGCUAACUACGUGCCAGCAGCCGCGGUAAUCCGUAGGUGGCAAGCGUUGUCCGGAUUUAUUGGGCGUAAAGCGCGCGCAGGCGGAUUGGUUAGUCCGGGGUGAAAACUCACGGCUCAACUGUGAGCGGUCCCCGGAUACUGCCCGUCUUGAGGGGUCUAGAGGAGAGCGGAAUUCCCGGUGUAGUGGUGGAAUGCGUAGAUAUCGGGAAGAACACCAGUGGCGAAAGCGGCUCUCUGGGGACCACCUGACGCUGAGGCGCGAAAGCGUGGGGAGCGAA